UUCUCUGAAGGAUCAAACUCCGGUGAAGUUAUUGGGACGAUAUAAUGCAAACAUGGGGCUCAACAAGACGUGCUAGUUGAUAUGGUUGCAUAAAGUCAUUCUUACAAGCAGAGAUUGGUACACCUUAUCAACACAACUACGCAUUUUGGAGUCAUGUUACAUGAAAAAAGAGGAGAAGAGGCAUAAUUCAUCAUUU